UACAGAGGUCUCAAGCGUUUGUUCGGAUUCAUUGGGCGUAAAGGGUGCGUAGGCGGCGCGGUAAGUCGGGUGUGAAAUCUUGGAGCUUAACUCCGAAACUGCAUUCGAUACUGCCGUGCUUGAGGACUGGAGAGGAGACUGGAAUUUACGGUGUAGCGGUGAAAUGCGUAGAUAUCGUAAGGAAGACCAGUGGCGAAGGCGGAUCUCUGGACAGUUCCUGACGCUGAGGCACGAAGGCCAGGGGGAGCAAAACGGGG
rnacentral:rRNA from 1 species